UGUAAACUAUCUAUCUAUCUUUCUCUUAUCAAUUCAAUUUAUUAAAUCGUCUCAAUACAAUGCAGACAUUCAUUCAUUGAAUGGUAUCAGACUCAGAAAUCAUGAAUUUCUGACGGUAUCGAUCGAUCUUUCACUAAUAAACCUUAAUUUUUCUUUAAUCCUGCUUCUCUGUCUACAUCAAAACUCAGUUGUACUUCAUCAAAAUCUUCAGUUACAAUUCAUCUAUUUGAAGAGUUCAAUCUCAGAUCUAGAUUUCUUACCUCAAGAUCUUCCAAUUUCAUCUUCAUCAGAGGUUUGUCAUCAUAAUUAGGUUGUUUUUUGCAACCAAAUUUCUUAAUCAAGAUUGCUGUUCUUGAUUCCUGAUGCCGAGAGAGUCUGAGCGUGUUCUAGCUCGCUAAACCAAGCUCUAGUUAGGGCGAAAACUUAAAACCGUUCCACUGAUUGGAUUCAGCAGAAGAUUGAGAAGUUGUUGGUCUCAAUUCUUAUUUCAAGGCAGUCAUCAACAAGGUGUUGAAGAAUCUUGUGUGUCUAAUGAUGUUUCUGAGUUGAAUUUCGUAUUGGAGUUGUGCUGAAUCAAAAGGUUUGAGUUCUCUUUAUCUCGUUCUUGCUGCUGUUAGAUUUUUAUUUGAAGUUUUCAUGGAGCUAGUAUGGAGUUGUGAUUAUUGAUGGUUCUUAGUGUGGAGUUGUAUUUGAUCCUGAUGCUAGUAUUGCAACGUCGUCAAGAGAAUUAAGCAUGAUUUUGGAACUAAAAUUCGGUUUUAGGGUUUGAGCUCUUGGUUAUUUCAAUUGCCAAUUUGGUUGUUUUGGAUUGUAAUCUCUUACCUCAGCAACUGAAAUUUGAGUCUCUGCUGAUGUGCAUUGAUGAGCGUAUGGAGUGAUAGUUUGCUGCACUAUAUAUGUGCUUAAUUUGCUUGUUAUCAGUUCAUCCCAUUGGUACUGGCUUUGGUACAGUCCUCAUUUAUGAGUGGGUUGGCUUGCAAGUUUAAUGAUGAAACUGAAGAUGAUGUUAUGGGAUUGGAAUUGGUGAGUUAUAUUAAGUUCAGGCUGAUGUUCUCUCUGAUGAGUCUACAUUCAAUUCUGAUGUAGCCUGGUUUACUUAUCUUUUAUUGUAUUCAGUUGUUAUUCUUUUCUUUUCCUGCACAAUAAUGACACUUCAUGUGUACUACAAUAAGAUCUUACAAUAAGUUGGAUUGUGAGUUGGUUCUCAAGCUUCCUGCAAGUGUUGAUUCUUAUUCAUCAUCAACUACUACUGCAAUAUGAGUUGUAUUUUUAGUGCUUGCUGGUGAAUGUUUGAAGGCAGAAUGGUGUUCCUUUAAUGUUGAGUUUGGAAGGGUGAAGAGACAUCAGUUGUGUAUCCAUAUUACUGGCACAAUGCAAUCAGUGUGCAGGUUAUCUUAUUGUUUUUUGCUUAUUAUGGUACAACUGACUCAGUGAGAAUGUCCAGUUCUUGUGAUACGAGUGAGGCAACUGCAGCUCUAUAAUUUCUUCUUGGAAUACAACCACUACAGCUGAGAUCAUGGGUCUUUUGCUGUUGGUUUACAAUAUUACUUAUGGUUUCCAAUGUCAAGAGCUCCGUCGCAACUUCUCCGCUACUCAAGCUAUCAUUUGCCGUAUCUGCUGCUGCCUCUGCUGCUGAGCUAUUCACUACGCCUGUUAGCUUUUACAGUUCAUCAAGUCUGCAUCAAUUUUAUAUUCUGCUGUAUUACCUACUUCUCAUACUACCACAGCUCCAUAUUUUCUACUCUCUGCAUCAACCACUACUAUUGCCAGCACGUUUUCUGUUUGCUACUUCACCCACUACGACUACUAUUGCCAUCAGAUAAGUGGAUUCUUCUCCUAGUUGCCUUUGGCUUCAUAUUAAGUUAUCACUGCCGUUGUUUCUGCACCAAUGACUACAGCUGCUGAUGCCAGUAUAGUUAUCAGUUACAUUUCUUGAAUGAUGCACCUUGGGUCAGCUCACAUUUGUUGGAUAAGUCAUUACCUGUUGGAGGAGAACGCUUUUGUUGGAUAAGAGGGUGGAAAACGUACCCGAGUCUUCCAUAACUAAACCACUAUACAUGGUUCUCAGCGCCUUCCAUUCACUGUCAAGUUUUUAUAUUCAAAUUGUUUUUGAUCGUCACAGUUUUUUGCACUUCCAUUCUCAUUUUGUGAAACAACAUCAAUAGUCCUGUAGGAAGCAUAUAAAAAUUACAAAGCAAGAUGAUCACCAUCCAAGAAAAUUUCAAGUAUUUUCUCCA